GUAGGGAAUUUUCGUCAAUGGGGGGAACCCUGAACGAGCGAUGCCGCGUGAGUGAAGAAGGCCUUCGGGUCGUAAAGCUCUGUUGCGGGGGAAAAAAGGGACGGACAGGAAAUGGUCUGUCACUGAUGGUGCCCCGCCAGAAAGUCACGGCUAACUACGUGCCAGCAGCCGCGGUAAUACGUAGGUGGCGAGCGUUAUCCGGAAUGAUUGGGCGUAAAGGGUGCGUAGGCGGCGUGCCAAGUCUGGAGUGAAAAGGAGGGGCUCAACCCCUGCUGGCUUUGGAAACUGGCAUGCUGGAGAGCAGGAGAGGGCGGUGGAACUCCAUGUGUAGCGGUAAAAUGCGUAGAUAUAUGGAAGAACACCAGUGGCGAAGGCGGCCGCCUGGCCUGUUACUGACGCUGAGGCACGAAAGCGUGGGGAGCAAAUAGGAUUAGAAACCCUAGUAGUCC
rnacentral:rRNA from 1 species